CCUACGGGAGGCAGCAGUGAGGAAUAUUGGUCAAUGGACGAGAGUCUGAACCAGCCAAGUAGCGUGAAGGAUGACUGCCCUAUGGGUUGUAAACUUCUUUUAUAUGGGAAUAAAAUGUUCCACGUGUGGGCGUUUGUAUGUACCAUAUGAAUAAGGAUCGGCUAACUCCGUGCCAGGCGCCGCGGUAAUACGGAGGAUCCGAGCGUUAUCCGGAUUGUUUGGGUUUAAAGGGAGCGUAGGUGGAUUGGUAAGUCAGUUGUGAAAGUUUGCGGCUCAACCGUAAAAUUGCAGUUGAAACUGGCAGUCUUGAGUACAGUAGAGGUGAGCGGAAUUCGUGGUGUAGCGGUGAAAUGCUUAGAUAUAACGAAGAACUCCGAUUGCGAAGGCAGUUCACUGGACUGCAACUGACGCUGAGGCUCGAAAGUGUGGGUAUCAAACAGGAUUAGAUACCCGAGUAGUC
rnacentral:rRNA from 1 species